UACAGAGGGGGCAAGUGUUGUUCGGAAUUACUGGGCGUAAAGGGCGCGUAGGCGGCCUGUUAAGUCGAACGUGAAAUCCCCGGGCUCAACCCGGGAACUGCGUCCGAUACUGGCAGGCUUGAAUCCGGGAGAGGGUCGCGGAAUUCCCGGUGUAGAGGUGAAAUUCGUAGAUAUCGGGAGGAACACCGGUGGCGAAGGCGGCGACCUGGGUCGAUACUGACGCUGAUGCGCGAAAGCGUGGGGAGCAAACAGG
rnacentral:rRNA from 1 species